UGGGGAAUUUUAGACAAUGGGGGAAACCCUGAUCCAGCCAUCCCGCGUGUGCGAUGAAGGCCUUCGGGUUGUAAAGCACUUUUGGCAGGAAAGAAACGUCAUGGGUUAAUACCCCGUGAAACUGACGGUACCUGCAGAAUAAGCACCGGCUAACUACGUGCCAGCAGCCGCGGUAAUACGUAGGGUGCAAGCGUUAAUCGGAAUUACUGGGCGUAAAGCGUGCGCAGGCGGUUCGGAAAGAAAGAUGUGAAAUCCCAGAGCUCAACUUUGGAACUGCAUUUUUAACUACCGGGCUAGAGUGUGUCAGAGGGAGGUGGAAUUCCGCGUGUAGCAGUGAAAUGCGUAGAUAUGCGGAGGAACACCGAUGGCGAAGGCAGCCUCCUGGGAUAACACUGACGCUCAUGCACGAAAGCGUGGGGAGCAAACAGG
rnacentral:rRNA from 1 species